rnacentral:rRNA from 1 species
CCGACAAGCAGCGGAGCGUGUGGUUAAUUCGAUGCAACGCGAAGAACCUUACCAAGGCUUGACAUGCCAGAAGUAGGAACUUGAAAGAGAGACCACCUCGUAUUCAGUCAGGAACUGGCACAGGUGCUGCAUGGCUGUCGUCAGCUCGUGCCGUGAGGUGUUAGGUUAAGUCCUGCAACGAGCGCAACCCUCGUCGCUAGUUAAAUUUUCUAGCGAUACUGCCCGUAUAACGUGGAGGAAGGUGGGGAUGACGUCAAGUCAGCACGGCCCUUACAUCCUGGGCUGCACACACGCUACAAUGGGUGAUACAACAGGUUGCAAUAGAGCGAUCUGGAGCCAAUCCCUAAAAUCAUCCUCAGUACGGAUUGCAGGCUGCAACUGCCUGCAUGAAGUUGGAGUUGCUAGUAAACGCAGGUCAGCACACUGCGUUGAAUACGUUCUCGGGCCUU